AUCACCUCACCAUCCGCUAGCUGUCUGAGCUUAAAGGGACACUUCACUGAUUAGCAUUAAGCUAUAUAUUUUUAGAAAACCAGUCAUGUUUUUGAAUGGUCGUGCAUCAUUCCCUCAGUUUGCCUUGAGAUGGGAGAAAUACGGAUUUCAAUAAAACCCAUGAAUAGGACUUCCUGCUUUCAAUGAUGAAAAAUUAGGAUUUUUACAUCAUUUAAAGCAGUUAGUCCAACAUUGAAAUCCAACAUUGAAUUGGUUCUAAAGAUACAAAGCUUAAUGCAAAUCGGUGAAGUGUCCCUUUAAAAAAAAUAAUUUAAAAAAUUGCUCUGUGGAAAAACCCAGGCUCAAAAAGCGGUAACAAAACCAGCCUGGUCCAGCCUGGACCAUGAAACAACAAACAUAACAAACCAGCCAAUCACCAAGGAGAUGUGGUCAGGAGAGUUUUAUUUCUGUUGCACAGGAGAGAUAAGAGGGGGAAGGCGGGGCGAGCUACAGUAGGCUAGCUGUUGUUUGGGCCAUUUCGGAUUGGUAUUUAUAGAGUUAUUAUUAGAGUCACAUUUUGAUCUGAAAUUUUUAAUCACAGCAUUAAUUGCAGUUAACAGCAGUUGAUUUUAAUCACUGGAACCUGCCCCAGGAAUCCAAUUAGAAGGAUGGGAACUGGUCAUGUGAUUUCCCAGUAACAUGUUGAACUGUGUUCAAAAAGUUGCUCUGUAGGCAAAAUGAGCCUCAGUUCUACUGAUCUUAGAAGUCAAAAUUACCUCUUCAAAGUCACAGAUGUAGAUGUCGGGGUUUCGUAGAACAGUCAUUAUUUUUAGAACUAGGACAGCUUUAUUUUGAAAGAGGAACUUGAGUUUAGAAUAUGCCUGUUAACAUCUGAUAAACUUGGGCGACAAGGAAGCAGAACUGGGACUGCCUUUUUCACCACUAUGUGACCGCAACAGCACCUUGAUAGCACAGUCUCAAAUAGGCUUCAUUGACUUUAUUGUGGACCCAACAUUCUCCUUAUUGACGGAUAUGGCAGAGAA